rnacentral:tRNA from 1 species
GGGGCCGUAGCUCAGUUAGGGAGAGCGUCGCGUUCGCAACGCGAAGGUCGCCGGUUCGAUCCCGGCCGGCUCCACCA